rnacentral:rRNA from 1 species
GACGAACGCUGGCGGCGUGCCUAAUACAUGCAAGUAGAACGCAGUUGCGAACGGGUGAGUAACGCGUAGGUAACUGCCUCAUAGCGGGGGAUAACUAUUGGAAACGAUAGCUAAUACCGCAUACUGUGAGAUGGACCUGCGUUGUAUUAGCUAGUUGGUGAGGUAAAGGCUCACCAAGGCGACGAUACAUAGCCGACCUGAGCAGGUGACCAGCCACACUUGAACUGGUACACGGUCCAGGAUCCUACGGGAGGAAGCAGUAGGGAAUCUUGGGCAAUGGGCGGAAGUCUGACCGCGCAACGCCGCGGGAGUGAAGAAGGUUUUCGGAUCGUAAAGCUCUGUUGUGUGAGAAGCGGUAACUAAACAGAAAGGGACGGCUAACUACGUGCCAGCCGCCGCGGUAAUUC